AUUGAACGCUGGCGGCAGGCUUAACACAUGCAAGUCGAGCGGAGACUUCGGUCUUAGCGGCGAACGGGUGAGGAAUGCCUGGGAAUCUGCCUGGUAGUGGGGGAUAACGUUCCGAAAGGAACGCUAAUACCGCAUACGUCCUACGGGAGAAAGCAGGGGACCUUCGGGCCUUGCGCUAUCAGAUGAGCCCAGGUCGGAUUAGCUAGUAGGUGAGGUAAAGGCUCACCUAGGCGACGAUCCGUAGCUGGUCUGAGAGGAUGAUCAGCCACACUGGAACUGAGACACGGUCCAGACUCCACGGGAGGCAGCAGUGGGGAAUAUUGGACAAUGGCGAAAGCCUGAUCCAGCCAUGCCGCGUGUGUGAAGAAGGCCUCGGUUGUUAAG
rnacentral:rRNA from 1 species